AGUGAACGCUGGCGGUAGGCCUAACACAUGCAAGUCGAACGGCAGCACAGUAAGAGCUUGCUCUUACGGGUGGCGAGUGGCGGACGGGUGAGGAAUACAUCGGAAUCUACUUUUUCGUGGGGGAUAACGUAGGGAAACUUACGCUAAUACCGCAUACGACCUACGGGUGAAAGCAUGGGAUCUUCGGACCUUGCGCGAUUGAAUGAGCCGAUGUCGGAUUAGCUAGUUGGCGGGGUAAAGGCCCACCAAGGCGACGAUCCGUAGCUGGUCUGAGAGGAUGAUCAGCCACACUGGAACUGAGACACGGUCCAGACUCCUACGGGAGGCAGCAGUGGGGAAUAUUGGACAAUGGGCGAAAGCCUGAUCCAGCCAUACCGCGUGGGUGAAGAAGGCCUUCGGGUUGUAAAGCCCUUUUGUUGGGAAAGAAAAGCAUCAGGUUAAUACCCCGCUGUUCUGACGGUACCCAAAGAAUAAGCACCGGCUAACUUCGUG
rnacentral:rRNA from 1 species